UACGUAGGGUGCAAGCGUUGUCCGGAUUUAUUGGGCGUAAAGAGCGUGUAGGCGGCCAUACAGGUCCGUUGUGAAAACUGGAGGCUUAACCUCCAGACGUCGAUGGAAACCGUAUGGCUAGAGUCCGGAAGAGGAGAGUGGAAUUCCUGGUGUAGCGGUGAAAUGCGCAGAUAUCAGGAAGAACACCCGUGGCGAAGGCGGCUCGCUGGGACGGUACUGACGCUAAGGCGCGAAAGCGUGGGGAGCGAACAGG
rnacentral:rRNA from 1 species